rnacentral:rRNA from 1 species
AUCCUGGCUUAGGACGAACGCUGGCGGCGUGCCUAAUACAUGCAAGUCGAACGGUCUUUCUAUGGAAGCUUGCUUCACUGAGAAGAUAGUGGCGAACGGGUGAGUAACACGUGGGUAACCUGCCCAUAAGAGGGGGAUAACAUCCGGAAACGGGUGCUAAUACCGCAUAGUUUUCUUGAUCGCAUGAUCGGGAAAGGAAAGACGGCCUUUGUGCUGUCGCUUAUGGAUGGACCCGCGGCGUAUUAGUUAGUUGGUGAGGUAACGGCUCACCAAGACGAUGAUACGUAGCCGACCUGAGAGGGUGAUCGGCCACAUUGGGACUGAGACACGGCCCAAACUCCUACGGGAGGCAGCAGUAGGGAAUCUUCCGCAAUGGACGAAAGUCUGACGGAGCAACGCCGCGUGAGUGAAGAAAGGUUUUCGGAUCGUAAAACUCUGUUGUCAGAGAAGAACAAGUUGGAGAGUAACUGCUCCAGCCUUGACGGUAUCUGACCAGAAAGCCACGGCUAACUACGUGCCAGCAGCGGC